rnacentral:rRNA from 1 species
CCCGCACAAGCGGUGGAGCAUGUGGUUUAAUUCGACGCAACGCGAAGAACCUUACCUGGGCUUGACAUCCCGAUCGUACCUGCUGGAAACAGCGGGGUCAGUUCGGCUGGAUCGGUGACAGGUGGUGCAUGGUUGUCGUCAGCUCGUGUCGUGAGAUGUUGGGUUAAGUCCCGCAACGAGCGCAACCCCUAUUGUUAGUUGCCAUCAUUCAGUUGGGCACUCUAGCGAGACUGCCGGUAAUAAACCGGAGGAAGGUGGGGAUGACGUCAAAUCAUCAUGCCCCUUAUGGCCUGGGCUACACACGUGCUACAAUGGUUGGUACAACGAGUUGCGAGUCGGUGACGGCGAGCUAAUCUCUUAAAGCCAAUCUCAGUUCGGAUUGUAGGCUGCAACUCGCCUACAUGAAGUCGGAAUCGCUAGUAAUCGCGGAUCAGCACGCCGCGGUGAAUACGUUCCCGGGCCUU